rnacentral:rRNA from 1 species
GAUGAACGCUGGCGGCGUGCUUAACACAUGCAAGUCGAACGGAAAGGCCCUGCUUUUGUGGGGUGCUCGAGUGGCGAACGGGUGAGUAACACGUGAGUAACCUGCCCUUUACUUUGGGAUAACUUCAGGAAACUGGGGCUAAUACCGGAUAGGAGUUCCUGCUGCAUGGUGGGGGUUGGAAAGUUUCGGCGGUUGGGGAUGGACUCGCGGCUUAUCAGCUUGUUGGUGGGGUAGUGGCUUACCAAGGCUUUGACGGGUAGCCGGCCUGAGAGGGUGACCGGCCACAUUGGGACUGAGAUACGGACCAGACUCCUACGGGAGGCAGCAGGGGGGAAUAUUGCGCAAUGGGCGGAAGCCUGAUGCAGCAACGCCGCGUGCGGGAUGACGGCCUUCGGGUUGUAAACCGCUUUCGCCUGUGACGAAGCGUGAGUGACGGUAAUGGGUAAAGAAGCACCGGCUAACUACGUG